rnacentral:tRNA from 1 species
GCGGGCGUAGCUUAGCGGCAGAGCAGCGAUCGUCCAGAUCGUCAGCACAGGUUCGAAUCCUGUCGCCCGCUCCA